GGGGCUGAUUCUGGAUUCGACGGGAUUUGCGAAACCCAAGGUGCAUGCCGAGGGGCGGUAGGCCUCGUAAAAAGCCGCAAAAAAUAGUCGCAAACGACGAAAACUACGCUUUAGCAGCUUAAUAACCUGCUUAGAGCCCUCUCUCCCUAGCCUCCGCUCUUAGGACGGGGAUCAAGAGAGGUCAAACCCAAAAGAGAUCGCGUGGAAGCCCUGCCUGGGGUUGAAGCGUUAAAACUUAAUCAGGCUAGUUUGUUAGUGGCGUGUCCGUCCGCAGCUGGCAAGCGAAUGUAAAGACUGACUAAGCAUGUAGUACCGAGGAUGUAGGAAUUUCGGAC
rnacentral:tmRNA from 1 species